CCUGAUGUUAGCGGCGGACGGGUGAGUAACACGUGGGUAACCUGCCUGUAAGACUGGGAUAACUCCGGGAAACCGGGGCUAAUACCGGAUGGUUGUUUGAACCGCAUGGUUCAAACAUAAAAGGUGGCUUCGGCUACCACUUACAGAUGGACCCGCGGCGCAUUAGCUAGUUGGUGAGGUAACGGCUCACCAAGGCGACGAUGCGUAGCCGACCUGAGAGGGUGAUCGGCCACACUGGGACUGAGACACGGCCCAGACUCCUACGGGAGGCAGCAGUAGGGAAUCUUCCGCAAUGGACGAAAGUCUGACGGAGCAACGCCGCGUGAGUGAUGAAGGUUUUCGGAUCGUAAAGCUCUGUUGUUAGGGAAGAACAAGUACCGUUCGAAUAGGGCGGUACCUUGACGGUACCUAACCAGAAAGCCACGGCUAACUACGUGCCAGCAGCCGCGGUAAUACGUAGGUGGCAAGCGUUGUCCGGAAUUAUUGGGCGUAAAGGGCUCGCAGGCGGUUUCUUAAGUCUGAUGUGAAAGCCCCCGGCUCAACCGGGGAGGGUCAUUGGAAACUGGGGAACUUGAGUGCAGAAGAGGAGAGUGGAAUUCCACGUGUAGCGGUGAAAUGCGUAGAGAUGUGGAGGAACACCAGUGGCGAAGGCGACUCUCUGGUCUGUAACUGACGCUGAGGCGCGAAAGCGUGGGGAGCGAACAGGAUUAGAUACCCUGGUAGUCCACGCCGUAAACGAUGAGUGCUAAGUGUUAGAGGGUUUCCGCCCUUUAGUGCUGCAGCAAACGCAUUAAGCACUCC
rnacentral:rRNA from 1 species